GAUAUACUGCGUUGGUCACACUGAGGGCCUGGGAAGUCCAUAUCUAUGAUGUUUAAUGAUACCGCUCUGUGGCACCUUUCAUGUGCAGCCUGGAGAUGAUUUCAUCGUUCCUGCUCAAACCAGUUGUAUGCUGAUCUUGUCAGAGACUGCCAGCAUACAUUCAACAGGUUUUGAAAACAUCUUGGCUCUCAGUCAUGGCUCGGUGUUCAUUAAGCAUUUUACAAACACAUAUGAUGUAACAUAUUGACAUUCUGCUGAAACAGCACCAACCAGCAGUACGAUUGGAGCCAUGUUAACUCUUCCUUUUCAAGCAAUUACAAUAGUAUAUUUGAACACUAUAACCAAGGCUAGUCUUCAGGGCUAGUAUCAUAGCAAGGGUCUCACCCUGAUUCUGACUCCAUGGGGAACACGAAGGUGACCACAAACUGCUAGACCCAGCUGUUCACUUGGAAGCACCACCACUUGGAAGUCUCCACAGAUUUGAUAAGGGAGCUCUUACAUGUGACCCCAGCUGGAUGUUGCCAUAUGGAUACAAGAAUUGUUAAUGAGGAAGAGAUCAAGCAUUGAGGAAAGAAUCAGCCAACUACUUACUACAUGCACUGCCACAACAGUAUUUGUAAACUAUACUGCUUGGUGACUGAUGAUACAAAGGAUAAACAAUGAACAGAGAAUGGGAGAAGAGAUGAAAGGAAGCUCUGUUGGCAUGUGGAGGAAAAGCAGUCCAUCAUUCUAUCAGAGCUACUGCUUUGCAAGUUAUACAUCACUGUCAUCUGCCUCACA